AGAAGAACUCCAUUCACUAUCUAAAAAAAGAUCGAUCUAUCAUAUCUUUCUAUUGUGUAUGAAAUUUAUGGUUUCCACUGGCGCAAAUUCCACCACCUCAAUUUGCAAUUAAUUUAAGGUGAGAAAGAAUUCCCCAUUGGUAACAAAUAGUUAUCCAUUAAGCGGGGGAAAUACUAUAAAAAAAGCAGAAAGAUUAUCUUUCUACUCUUGCAAGAACGGACUAACAAGGUCAGCUACCCCACCAAUCUUCAUAAUUAAAUACCGU
rnacentral:lncRNA from 1 species